rnacentral:sRNA from 1 species
GCCGGGUGUGGUGGCGCACACCUGUAAUCCCAGUGGAUCCGGAGGCUGAGGCAGGAGGAUCACGAGUUCAAAGCCAGCCUCAGCAAAAGUGAGGUGCUAAGCAACUCAGUGAGACCCUCUCUCUA